CCCGUGGGGUGGGAAUGAAGGGAGUCCGGGUGGGAACGAGGGGAGUCCAGGUGGGAAUGAGGGGAAUCCAAGUGGGAAUGAGGGGAAUCCAAGUGGGAAUGAGGGGAGUCCGGGUGGGAAUGUGGGGAGUCCAGGUGGGAAUGAAAGGAGUCCAGGAGGGAAUGAGGGGAGUCCAGGAGGGAAUGAGGGGAGUCCAGGUGGGAAUGAGGGGGGUCCAGGUGGGAAUGAGGGGGGUCCAGGUGGGAAUGAGGGGAGUCCAGGUGGGAACGAGGGGAGCCCAGGAGGGAAUGAGGGGGGUCCAGGAGGGAAUGGGAAUGUGCGGCGGCUCCAGGAGCAGCUGGGCGAGCUGGAGGAGGCCCGGCAGAGGCUGGAGGUGUCCGAGAGCCGGAGCUCCCGGCUGGAGCUGCAGCGGCGGGUGCUGGAGGCUGAGCUGGGCCGGGCGCGGCGGGCGCUGGCCGGGCGGGAGGAGGAGGCGCGGGAGGCGCGGCAGCGAGCGGAGCGGCUCCGCACGCAGCUGGCUCAGGCCGAGUCCCGCCCGGGGCCGGUGCCGGGGGGCGGCUCCAAGGCGGAGGCUCCGGACGGGUCCCGACUCCACGAGCGGCUCCGGCAGCUCCAGGACGCGCUGGCCGCCGGUGAAACGGACCGGAGGCUGCUCCAGGUGGGACCGGAACCCCUCCCUGUGCCCCCCAGUUCCCUCUGAACCCCCUCCCAGUCCCCCCAGUUCCCUCUGAACCGCUCCCAGUCCUCCCAGUUCCCUCUGAACCCCCUCCCAGUCCCCCCAGUUCCCACUGGAACUCCUCCUUCUUCCCCCCGAACCCCCUCUGAGCUCCCCCAGCUACCCCUGAACCCAUUCCCAGCUCCCCCAGUUCCCCUGAAUCCUCUCCCAGUUCUCCCUGGACCCAUUCCCAGUUCCCCUGAGCCCCCUGCCAGGCCCUGGUGGCCCGGGGCUGUCCCGGGGCUGUCCCUGGCUGUCCCGGGGCUGUCCCUGGCUGUCCUGGGUCUGUCCCUGGCUGUCCCUGGCUGUCCUGGGUCUGUCCCUGGCUGUCCCGGGGAUGUCCCUGGAUGUCCCGAGGCUGUCCCUGGGUGUCAUGGGGCUGUCCCAGGGCUGUCCCUGGCUGUCCCGGGGCUGUCCCCAGGUGUCACGCGGAUGUCCC
rnacentral:lncRNA from 1 species